AUUGAACGCUGGCGGCAUGCCUUACACAUGCAAGUCGAACGGCAGCACGGGAGCAAUCCUGGUGGCGAGUGGCGAACGGGUGAGUAAUAUAUCGGAACGUGCCCAGUCGUGGGGAUAACGUAGCGAAAGCUACGCUAAUACCGCAUACGAUCUACGGAUGAAAGCGGGGGAUCGCAAGACCUCGCGCGAUUGGAGCGGCCGAUAUCAGAUUAGGUAGUUGGUGAGGUAAAGGCUCACCAAGCCGACGAUCUGUAGCUGGUCUGAGAGGACGACCAGCCACACUGGGACUGAGACACGGCCCAGACUCCUACGGGAGGCAGCAGUGGGGAAUUUUGGACAAUGGGCGCAAGCCUGAUCCAGCAAUGCCGCGUGCAGGAUGAAGGCCUCGGUUGUAAACU
rnacentral:rRNA from 1 species